rnacentral:rRNA from 1 species
UUAGGAAUAUUGCACAAUGGAGGGAACUCUGAUGCAGUGACGCCGCGUAAAGGAAGAAGGUCUUCGGAUUGUAAACUUUUGUCGUUAGGGAAGAAAAAAGACAGUACCUAAGGAGGAAGCCACGGCUAACUACGUGCCAGCAGCCGCGGUAAUACGUAGGUGGCAAGCGUUGUCCGGAUUUAUUGGGUGUAAAGGGUGCGUAGACGGCUAAAUAAGUUAGAUGUGAAAUUUCAAAGCUCAACUUUGAAAGUGCAUCUAAAACUGUAUAGCUAAAGGAGUGCAGAAGGGGUAAGUGGAAUUCCUAGUGUAGCGGUAAAAUGCGUAGAUAUUAGGAGGAACACCAGUGGCGAAGGCGACUUACUGGUCUGUAACUGACGUUGAGGCACGAAAGUGUGGGGAGCAAACA